AUCCAGACUCCUACGGGAGGCAGCAGUGGGGAAUAUUGGACAAUGGGGGAAACCCUGAUCCAGCGACGCCGCAUGAGUGAAGAAGUAUUUCGGUACGUAAAGCUCUAUCAGCAGGAAAGAAAAUGACGGUACCUGACUAAGAAGCCCCGGCUAACUACGUGCCAGCAGCCGCGGUAAUACGUAGGGGGCAAGCGUUAUCCGGAAUUACUGGGUGUAAAGGGAGCGUAGACGGUGAAGUAAGUCUGGAGUGAAAGGCGGGGGCCCAACCCCCGGACUGCUCUGGAAACUAUUUGACUGGAGUGCAGGAGAGGUAAGCGGAAUUCCUAGUGUAGCGGUGAAAUGCGUAGAUAUUAGGAGGAACACCAGUGGCGAAGGCGGCUUACUGGACUGUAACUGACGUUGAGGCUCGAAAGCGUGGGGAGCAAACAGGAUUAGAUACCCCUGUAC
rnacentral:rRNA from 1 species